AGGACUGCUGCAACUUCCUAGGUGACUUGAGGCAGCCUUAAAAGGGAUUGGUGCAGGGUCCUUGCGACAGAUAAAUGUGAUUAAAAAUCCGCUGGGCCACCCGUGAGGAGCGGCGCCCCCCUCCCUUUCCCACCUCGUCUGCCUCGGUGGUCUUGCCCUCGGCCAGCUCUGGGCGCUGCUGUCCCGGUGCUAGUGGGGCGCGGCUGGAGGGCAGUGUGGGCCUCCCGGAUGGCGGCGACUCGGUUUGCGCGUCUCGUAGCCGGGCUGCCGGCCGCAAGCACUGAAUAGGUAAAAGAGAUAAUUUUGGCCACUGCAAACUUUCAGUCCUUUUCAGUGAGGACUGUCUUUCAGUCCUCACUGGUGGUUGGCUACCUACCUGUCCGUGCAGAGGACUAGCCAUGCCUCCAUGUUCUUUCUCCACAUCACUGACGGAUUUAAAUGAUCCUACCAUACCUAGAAGCCGGUUUUGCAAAAUUGUAUUCGCUGUUGCGCGUAUCUUCAGUCACCCUUCCUGUUUCGUGUAUUUUUUCCCCCAUAAAUUUGCAACAGCUGCCUCUUGGGUUCCUGGGC
rnacentral:lncRNA from 1 species